AAACAGGUCAAUAUUCCUGUACCGAUGUGUAGUGCGAUGUGGGGACGGAGAAGGUUAACUCAGCCGGGUGUUGGAUGUCCCGGUUCAAGCCUGUAGUCGUGCCUGGUAGGUAAAUCCGCCGGGCUUAGAUGAGGGGUGAUAACGAGGCGGCUUGCCGCCGAAGUGAGUGAUACCCUGCUUCCAGGAAAAGCCACUAAGCUUCAGCUACACACGACCGUACCGCAAACCGACACUGGUGCGCGAGAUGAGUAUUCUCAGGCGCUUGAGAGAACUCGGGAGAAGGAACUCGGCAAAUUGACACCGUAACUUCGGAAGAAGGUGUGCCCUUAGUAGGUGAAGUCCCUCGCGGAUGGAGCCCAAUGGGGUUGCAAAGAAUCGGUGGCUGCGACUGUUUAAUAAAAACACAGCACUCUGCAAACACGAAAGUGGACGUAUAGGGUGUGACGCCUGCCCGGUGCUGGAAGAUUAAAUGAUGGGGUGCAAGCUCUUGAUUGAAGUCCCAGUAAACGGCGGCCGUAACCAUAACGGUCCUAAGGUAGCGAAAUUCCUUGUCGGGUAAGUUCCGACCUGCACGAAUGGCGUAACGAUGGCCACACUGUCUCCUCCCGAGACUCAGCGAAGUUGAAAUGUUUGUGAUGAUGCAAUCUCCCCGCGGAAAGACGGAAAGACCCCAUGAACCUUUACUGUAGCUUUGUAUUGGACUUUGAACAGAUCUGUGUAGGAUAGGUGGGAGGCUUUGAAGUGUGGUCGCUAGAUCGCAUGGAGCCAACGUUGAAAUACCACCCUGGUGUGUUUGAGGUUCUAACCUAGGCCCGUGAUCCGGGUCGGGGACAGUGCAUGGUAGGCAGUUUGACUGGGGCGGUCUCCUCCCAAAGCGUAACGGAGGAGUUCGAAGGUACGCUAGUUACGGUCGGACAUCGUGACGAUAGUGCAAUGGCAUAAGCGUGCUUAACUGCGAGACUGACAAGUCGAGCAGAUGCGAAAGCAGGACAUAGUGAUCCGGUGGCUCUGUAUGGAAGGGCCAUCGCUCAACGGAUAAAAGGUACUCUGGGGAUAACAGGCUGAUACCGCCCAAGAGUUCAUAUCGACGGCGGUGUUUGGCACCUCGAUGUCGGCUCAUCUCAUCCUGGGGCUGUAGCCGGUCCCAAGGGUAUGGCUGUUCGCCAUUUAAAGAGGUACGUGAGCUGGGUUUAAAACGUCGUGAGACAGUUUGGUCCCUAUCUUCCGUGGGCGCUGCAGAUUUGAGGAAGCCUGCUCCUAGUACGAGAGGACCGGAGUGGACGCACCUCUGGUGUACCUGUUGUCACGCCAGUGGCAUCGCAGGGUAGCUAUGUGCGGAAGAGAUAACCGCUGAAAGCAUCUAAGCGGGAAACUCGUUCCAAGAUGAGAUCUGCCGGGGGCUCGACCCCCCUAAAGAGUCGUUCAAGACCAGGACGUUGAUAGGCGAGGUGUGGAAGCGCAGUAAUGCGUUAAGCUAACUCGUACUAAUUGCUCGUGCGGCUUGACCC
rnacentral:rRNA from 1 species